GACGAACGCUGGCGGCGUGCUUAACACAUGCAAGUCGAACGGAAAGGCCCUGCUUUUGUGGGGUGCUCGAGUGGCGAACGGGUGAGUAACACGUGAAUAACCUGCCCUUGACUUUGGGAUAACUUCAGGAAACUGGGGCUAAUACCGGAUAGGAGCUCCUGCUGCAUGGUGGGGGUUGGAAAGUUUCGGCGGUUGGGGAUGGAUUCGCGGCUUAUCAGCUUGUUGGUGGGGUAGUGGCUUACCAAGGCUUUGACGGGUAUCCGGCCUGAGAGGGUGACCGGCCACAUUGGGACUGAGAUACGGCCCAGACUCCUACGGGAGGCAGCAGUGGGGAAUAUUGCACAAUGGGCGGAAGCCUGAUGCAGCAACGCCGCGUGCGGGAUGACGGCCUUCGGGUUGUAAACCGCUUUCGCCUGUGACGAAGCGUGAGUGACGGUAAUGGGUAAAGAAGCACCGGCUAACUACGUG
rnacentral:rRNA from 1 species